CACAAGCAAAUAAUAUAACAUAUGAUAUAAAUAUAUGUAAAACUAAAUGGUAUGUGUAAUAAGUAUGAGAGCAGAGAUGCAUCUAUUUUGUCUAUUUGUAGAAAAACAAAAUAAAAACAAAUGAUCAUGCGAGAAAUUCUGGAACAACUACUUAAGAAAAAAUACCUUUGUAAUAAUAACGUGGGCGUAAAUAUUAUAAGAUAUGAGUAAAAAAAUUAAUAACGCAAGUUUUAUAUAUUCUUUUUUAUAUUUUUUAUUAAAUUUUAUUUCAUCCAAAUUUUAAUCAGAAUUAUUACAAUUAUUAUUCGUUAGUUUUAAAUCAUCUUCAGCGAUACUUAUUUUUAUCUUGAUGAAUUGAUUAAUCGACAAAAUUAUCGCAUUUGGGAUUAAAAAAAUCCAUAAAUGAUUGUUGAGAAACAAAUGCAUCCAUAUGAACUAUUUUUGAACUAUUUUUUUUUUGAAAAUGUGGUUAGUUAGAUAAUAACAGUUAAUGGUGCCCGCUAUUUCGACAUGAUAAUCCAGUUUUUUUUAUGCCUAAAUUGUAAAAUAUGGACAACAUGUGGUUUCAAUAAGACAAUGCCAUAUUCCAUAUAAUCCGAAAAAUAAUUCAAUUACUACAUGAAUCAUUUCAUGAUCGUGUAAUUUCCCAUUUUGGUGAUCAAAAUUGACCUAGAUUGUAUGAUUUAAUAUCAUUAAAUUUUUUUUUGGGAUUUUUUAAAAGGUUUUUCUAAUGUUUAUGCCGAAAAGCUUACGAUCAGGUGAUAAUGAAAAUGAUGCUGCAGAUGAGAUUUGUAUUGUUUACAGGAAUGAUGCUAUAACUAUUAUGACCAUUUAUAAUUGGUUUAAGAGAUAGAACUUUUGAAUUUUGAAAAAUGAAGGACCCUAUAGCCCCCCAGCAACGAUAAAUACGGAUCUUAUUAAGGCUCGCUGAAAAUCCGCGAUACAGCGUGUAAGAGAUAAUGGAUGCCAUUAAUAUUUCCAGGAAAAUAAUAGAUAGUCAUCUGACCAAGAUGGGAUAUGUGAAUCAAUAUGAAAUUUGAGUUCCACAGCAACUAUUGACGAAAAUCGACUUUAUGAACCGCAUCUCUACGUGCGAUUUCCUUCUUCAGAGACAUGAAAGAGAUCCUUUUUUAAAGAGGCUUAUCACUGGAGAGUAGACUUGGAUUUUAUAUCAAAAUGCAUCAAAAAUGUACUUGAUUUAAGUAAACCUUCAACUAUCGCGAAGCCUAGACUUCAUCUGAAGAAAGUUCUUUUAUUCAUUUAUUGGGAUUGGAAAGGGCAUUGAUCAUCGGUAUUGUUUCCCGACCAUCUAUGAUUAUAAGAAGCACUUCGCCAUCUGAUAUAUUCUCAAUUUAUCCUUUUGGAAUAAGAUGAUAGGUAUGAAUGGCAAGUAUAUUUAAUAACUUUUUUCUAUACUAUUCCCAAGAUAGUUUCCAUCUUUAUAAUGGAUUAUGAUACGGAUCACGAAAAUUUUACUCUUUUAUUAUUGAUUCGAGGAUUACUUUGCUCUCAAUCAUUACUGUUUAUUUUAUUUGGGAAUUUUUACAUAACAAAAUCGAUUAAGUCAUCAUGAUGACGAAUGUGCUCUAUUUUGUAGUAUAUGCAUCGAAAGAGAAUAUGCGCGAGCAUUUCGUUAUAUAUUUAAUACUUUCUACAGAACAUAUAUUUGUUUGGGGAUGGCUCUGUUCAUUGCAACUUUAUUCCCUGUGAUAUCAAUCUAGAGCUGUCAGAUAUUGAUAGUUUUAACAGAGUUGGAUUAUAGUAGAACUAUAUAUUUUCUUUUUUGUCAUUGAUAAAGUUAUGUAUUGCUUUCCUUGGACAUACACUUCCAAUAUUUUAAUUCUCGCUUUUUUGCAUCUGCCUUCUACUUAUCGAUUCAUGUAACCGGUCAAUUGAGUCUGGUCAAGGUUUAAAUUUAUUUUUUAAUCCGCCCGUGCGAAGGCUUGAAUGAUCGAGAUUAUUAAGGAAAUAUAAUUCCUUUAAACUGAUGCUAAUGCAUAUAAUCUCCAGCUUUAGAAAUCUAAUUCCCCAUUUUUGUCCUCACAAAUAAAGUUCGUAAACGCUGAGUGAAGAAUAUUCUCGAAAAUUACUGUCAAAUUGCCUCAACAUUUUCACUAAUGCUACUGCAAUUAAAAAUAAUAGAGAUAAAUAGAAAGUAAAUUCACUUUCUGGGUUUUUUUUCUUAUGGCGUAAUUAACUUAUUCCAGAGAGUGAACCCAAAUAUCUCAAAUAUCUUAUUCGUGUUUCCGCAAAAGAUGCUUUCUACUAUUAAAAUAGAGAUCAAAAUCUUUCAUAUAAUAAGAAUCUCAUUAGUACAUCAAAAGAUUUAGAUGUUGAUAUGAACAUAUUUAAGAUAAGAUAAUUCUCCAUUAUUUUUAAGACAUUCCUGGCCAAGAAUUCGUUACUAGUAUUGGAUUAUCGGGGAAGGUCAAAGAAUAUAAAUAUUAUUCCUCGUUAUUAAUUUCAGGCUGUUUCUUCAACGCGAAGAGAAGUGGUUCUAAAAAUAUAUUGAAACACAGCAGGAUAAAGGAUUUCUACUUUACUCCAUGAAACAAACUGGACAAUUGACUUAUCGUAUUGCAUAUGAGUUUACAUAUCUUGGUCACUGACUGUACUGCUUGUGAAUGUCUUUUUCGUAGAAUAACAUAUGAAAUGUUUUUCUAAUAUCCAAUUGCAUUACAAUCAAACCUUCUUGGACUUUACUUUGUAAGAUUUCGGUCAGGAUGUGCAUAUUAUUAUAACAUCUUUUUUUCUGAUGUAAAACUCUUUUGAUAAGAGAUACUAUGUCUUAAAUUUUGUAUCGAUUAUAUAUAAAUCCAAUAUAAUCAAUAUAACAGAGAAUUGAUUAUGAGAGGAAUAUAAUUCUCGCAUUCAUUAUUUAAGAAAUAUUCGUUCUUUUUAAGAAAUAAGAAAUAAGUGCGAUUUCAAAAAAUAGGCUGCAAUUCAGUAAUUAUUAAAAGAUUAUACUUUCUAAAAAUAUUUACUAUUUCAUAAGAUAGUUGACAUUUUUUGAUCUCGUCAAGGCUAGGAACAAUGUCCAUUUUGAUUUUGAAUGAUCCGAUUUAGAUGAGCGUGAGAAAAAAUCAUUGAGAAAAAAAUAUUUCUCCAAAUCAUUCAAGUUAGACAGAUUUCUUUUAUAACUCUCAUACAUUUGCCUUACGUUGACUUGAAGAAAAAAUUUUUCUUGUACUCACUGCAAAUUUAAAAAAAACAUUUAAACAUUUAACAAGAAGGCCUCGAUUUUUCUUUAAAAAUUGUAGGUUUUAUAUAAAAGAGAUAUUGCUGAUAAAUCUUUCGCAAUCCUCUUCUUUUGGUCCUUCUCUGCCGGUAGAUACAAUAUCAGUUGGUAAUAUAUGAUCAAUUUUUUUCAAUACGAUGCUAUCCAUCUAUUGGUACCUAUCCAGAUGAUGGAUAAUUAAAUUAAAAUAAAUCCUUCCAUGAAUUUAAAAAAUUUUAAUAUCAUAAUUUCAAAAAAGAGUAUUACAAAAUUGGCAAAAGAAGAGGCAAAAAAAAAUUCUUGUCUCAAACUAAUUCUUACUGGCUUGUCAGUGAAAGAAAUAUUGAAAAAUCAAGGAA